rnacentral:rRNA from 1 species
GAGCUUGCUCCUUUUGGUUUAGCGGCGGACGGGUGAGUAACACGUGGGCAACCUGCCCUGCAGAUCGGGAUAACUCCGGGAAACCGGUGCUAAUACCGAAUAGUUUGGCGCCUCUCCUGAGGCGCUACGGAAAGACGGCAUCUCGCUGUCACUGCAGGAUGGGCCCGCGGCGCAUUAGCUAGUUGGUGGGGUAACGGCCCACCAAGGCGACGAUGCGUAGCCGACCUGAGAGGGUGAUCGGCCACACUGGGACUGAGACACGGCCCAGACUCCUACGGGAGGCAGCAGUAGGGAAUCUUCCGCAAUGGACGCAAGUCUGACGGAGCAACGCCGCGUGAGUGACGAAGGUUUUCGGAUCGUAAAACUCUGUUGUGAGGGAAGAAACCGUGCCAAUUAACUACUGGCACCUUGACGGUACCUCACCAGAAAGCCACGGCUAACUACGUGCCAGCAGCCGCGGUAAUACGUAGGUGGCAAGCGUUGUCCGGAAUUAUUGGGCGUAAAGCGCGCGCAGGCGGUCCUUUAAGUCUGAUGUGAAAGCCCACGGCUCAACCGUGGAGGGUCAUUGGAAACUGGAGGACUUGAGUGCAGAAGAGGAAAGUGGAAUUCCACGUGUAGCGGUGAAAUGCGUAGAGAUGUGGAGGAACACCAGUGGCGAAGGCGACUUUCUGGUCUGUAACUGACGCUGAGGCGCGAAAGCGUGGGGAGCAAACAGGAUUAGAUACCC